GUGUCAGCAGCCGCGGUAAUACGUAGGGUGCGAGCGUUAAUCGGAAUUACUGGGCGUAAAGCGUGCGCAGGCGGUUCGUUGUGUCGGAUGUGAAAGCCCCGGGCUCAACCUGGGAAUGGCAUUCGAAACUGGCGGGCUGGAGUGUGGCAGAGGGGGGUGGAACUCCUGGUGUAGCAGUGAAAUGCGUAGAGAUCAGGAAGAACACCGAUGGCGAAGGCAGCCCCCUGGGCUGACACUGACGCUCAGGCACGAAAGCGUGGGGAGCAAACAGGAUUAGAUACCCUGGUAGUCCACGCCCUAAACGAUGUCGACUGGGUGUUCGGGGAGCGAUCCCUGGGUACCGUAGCUAACGCGUGAAGUCGACCGCCUGGGGAGUACGGCCGCAAGGUUAAA
rnacentral:rRNA from 1 species